rnacentral:rRNA from 1 species
GGAUGAACGCUAGCUACAGGCUUAACACAUGCAAGUCGAGGGGAAACGACAUCGAAAGCUUGCUUUUGAUGGGCGUCGACCGGCGCACGGGUGAGUAACGCGUAUCCAACCCGCCCACCACUUGGGGAUAACCUUGCGAAAGUAAGACUAAUACCCAAUGAUAUCUCUAGAAGACAUCUGAAAGAGAUUAAAGAUUUAUUGGUGAUGGAUGGGGAUGCGUCUGAUUAGCUUGUUGGCGGGGUAACGGCCCACCAAGGCGACGAUCAGUAGGGGUUCUGAGAGGAAGGUCCCCCACAUUGGAACUGAGACACGGUCCAAACUCCUACGGGAGGCAGCAGUGAGGAAUAUUGGUCAAUGGGCGAGAGCCUGAACCAGCCAAGUAGCGUGCAGGAUGACGGCCCUAUGGGUUGUAAACUGCUUUUAUAAGGGAAUAAAGUGAGUCUCGUGAGACUUUUUGCAUGUACCUUAUGAAUAAGGACCGGCUAAUUCCGUGCCAGCAGCCGCGGUAAUACGGAAGGUCCGGGCGUUAUCCGGAUUUAUUGGGUUUAAAGGGAGCGUAGGCCGGAGAUUAAGCGUGUUGUGAAAUGUAGAUGCUCAACAUCUGAACUGCAGCGCGAACUGGUUUCCUUGAGUACGCACAAAGUGGGCGGAAUUCGUGGUGUAGCGGUGAAAUGCUUAGAUAUCACGAAGAACUCCGAUUGCGAAGGCAGCUCACUGGAGCGCAACUGACGCUGAAGCUCGAAAGUGCGGGUAUCGAACAGGAUUAGAUACCCUGGUAGUCCGCACGGUAAACGAUGGAUGCCCGCUGUUGGUCUGAAUAGGUCAGCGGCCAAGCGAAAGCAUUAAGCAUCCCACCUGGGGAGUACGCCGGCAACGGUG